rnacentral:rRNA from 1 species
UCUUAUGAAAUUAGCGGCGGACGGGUGAGUAACGCGUGGGUAACCUGCCCAUAAAACUGGGAUAACUCCGGGAAACCGGGGCUAAUACCGGAUAACAUUUUGAACCGCAGGGUUCGAAAUUGAAAGGCCGCUUCGGCUGUCACUUAUGGAUGGACCCGCGUCGCAUUAGCUAGUUGGUGAGGUAACGGCUCACCAAGGCAACGAUGCGUAGACGACCUGAGAGGGUGAUCGGCCACACUGGGACUGAGACACCGCCCAGACUCCUACGGGAGGCAGCAUUAGGGAAUCUUCCCCAAUGGACGAAAGUCUGACGGAGCGACGCCGCGUGAGUGAUGAAGGCUUUCGGGUCGUAAAACUCUGUUGUUAGGGAAGAACAAGUGCUAGUUGAAUAAGCUGGCACCUUGACGGUACCUAACCAGAAAGCCACGGCUAACUACGUGCCAACAGCCGCGGUAAUACGUAUGUGGCAAGCGUUAUCCGGAAUUAUUGGGCGUAAAGCGCGCGCAGGUGGUUUCUUAAGUCUGAUGUGAAAGCCCACGGCUCAACCGUGGAGGGUCAUUGGAAACUGGGAGACUUGAGUGCAGAAGAGGAAAGUGGAAUUCCAUGUGUAGCGGUGAAAUGCGUAGAGAUAUGGAGGAACACCAGUGGCGAAGGCGACUUUCUGGUCUGUAACUGACACUGAGGCGCGAAAGCAUGGGGAGCAAACAGGAGUAGAUACCCUCGUAGUCCACGCCGUAAACGAUGAGUGCU